rnacentral:lncRNA from 1 species
AACCCUAAUUUGAUGGUGUCUACAAAUACAGGACUUUAAUUAAAAGGACGCAUUACUAAUUAAAUAAUCAGAACGUUCUUACAUUUAUAAGUUCAUAUAAAUAAUUAUGUCUCUUUGUACCAAAAGUGGAAAUAGUUCAUAACCACUUUCUAGAUUACAUCAACAAAUUCAUAAAACAGGCAAAAACAAACACAAAUUCCAAAUUCUUAAAGCACAUGCAACCAAAUACUCAUUAUUUUCAAACAUUUUCCAACCAAAUACUCAUUAGUUUCAAAUAGUGUCCAACCAAAUACUCAAUAUUUUAAAGAUAAGAUAUAUGAUUGCAAAUUGCACCAAAACUUAAGAGUGCAAACUGUAAGUGACUCUAUUUUUCUGGUUAAAAAACUGGUAAAUUUAAAGUGUCAUUCUGGAAGUGUAUAAAUGUUUUAUGGGUAAUUAGAACCCUAAUUAUUGAAAACAAUGACAUAGUGAGACAAUUCCAAUAUGCAUGAGCAAGUACUGAACCUAGCUGAUAGCUCGAAUACUAGUUUAUACGUACUUACUAUUUGAUGAGUAUCAAUAUAUGGCAUGCUCAACAUUGGUAGUUAGUGAGACUAUCAUGUCAUACUAAAACUUUUAAGUUGUUACAAAGAUUAGUUAGUCUAUUAGAAGUGUAAGAAUGAAGUUUUAGAUAUAUGUGUGUAUAAAAGCUCUGAAAUUGUAAGGAUCCAAUUCAUUAAGUCUGAAAUACAAUUCAUACAAUUUACUCUCUCUCUCUC